UUCCUGCUGUUUGGCGAGUACACAGUGCAAUGCAGUAUGUCUGUCAGCGCUGCGGCACAAAGGAACAGCCAUUUUGUGACUGAGCUGGACUUGCACCAAGAUGCCAGGGCCUCCGAGAACUGCUGCCUGCGCCAACUACCGAGCUGCCUUUUAUUUCAUCAUCAGAGUACUUAUGGGAACGUGGGGAAAAGGAUGUUCUGAUAUUAGAAAGAACCAAAGUAGCAAGUUCAGACUCUAGGACCAUGGCCUGUUUUCAGUGAAUGUUCUAAGCUGUGUAUCCAUUUCAGUACAAGUACUCUCAGCCCUGAAACUGCAAUGAGAAAGCACAACAGAAUCUAAACAAUACAGAAAUACAUCUUUAAAUUAUUAAAAUGGGGCCUGUGAGACUGUGCAAUAUGUAAAGGGACUUCCCAACAUGCCUGAAAACGUUCAAAAACACCAGGACACUGACAGAAGCCUCUAAGAGCAGUGCAUUUAGUUUGGUGGAAUCUAUUUAUUUUUGUAGUUGUUUAAAGAACUACUAAAUAUGAGUAUUUUAAC
ensembl:antisense Gm44686 predicted gene 44686